rfam:Triticum aestivum genome assembly, contig: Triticum_aestivum_CS42_TGACv1_scaffold_114073_2AS
UAAGUACUCCCUCCGUCCCAAAAUUCUUGUCUUAGAUUUUUCUACGUAUGGAUGUAUCUAUUCAUAUUUUUAGUGUUAGAUACAUCUGUAUCUAGAUAAGUCUAAGACAAGAAUUUUGGGACGGAGGGAGUAUAUA